AGGGUGAGACGGGGACUGUCACGGCCUCCAACGGGCUUCGGGGUGCCUCACAGAGCCCCCCCACCAAGGUCCUGCUGAACAGGGGCCUCCAGGCCCUUGAAGGCAUCGGUGCCUCUGAGCCUUACAGGGGCCAGAGGCAGAGGGUCCUGUCUCCGGGAUUUGUGAGUGUGACCACACACCCAUGGGCGGCCCCAGUAGAAUUGACAGGAAGCCUACAAUGUUUUGUGAGAUGUUUCUAGUGGGGACAUAUCUGGUUUGGACUGAAAAGGAAGGCAAGUGGACAGAAUGAACAGGGCAGAGCCAAGAGCCCAGAGGACAUUUCCAGGUGACCAUAUGGAGCCCUCAGCCAGGAGCCAGGCACCCACCCGGACCUCAGGACCGACGGGAGCCUCUACCCUUGCCCCUUAGGGUUGGUGGUUGCUCGGUGGUUAGUCCACACUGGUCCCAGCACGCCGUGUGGAAGCUCGAGCUGCCCAAAGAGAGGCCUGCGUGGAGAGGCACCCACCGCCAGGCCCGCCUCUCCAGCCCUGCGGGUGCACCAUCUUGGAAGCGGGUCCUCCAGCUGGAGUCCACCUGCCCCAGCUAACACCGGGGGGCAGAGACAGGUUGACUCCUCCAAGUCCUGCCCAGAUUACAGAUCCCUGAUCCGGAUGACCUUUCCUUAAGUCAUGAUGUCUUGGGAUGGUUUGUUACACGGCGGUGGACAACCGAGGCAUAUAUAGGACAGUUCCCGGCACAUGGUGGGCGUUCAGUGAAGAUUAGCUGCUAUUCUUAUUUUUAUCCUUCUUAUUAUUUUCAUCUAGAAUAUCAACAUCAAAGAAGUUGGUCUGGCAGAAAAUAUCAACUUCCAGAGACCCACGGGCCCAAAUCCCCUGGGCUGCAGCACUGGACACAUCUCCCCCUCGGCUUUGUGGAUGAGCUUGUUGAGACAUCAAAGUUUCAUGCUUUCCUAAAAAGAACGGGAACAGGGGGCCAAGGGCCAUCCGGUGUCCCCACUCGGAGCCUCUUGCAAAGGAAAGAUCAGCUGCCAGGGGAGCCCCAUGGCGGGGAGAGCCGUGUGGCCGUGAGGUAAUCAGCCCGCAACGUUAUUAUCAUUAUGCUGCUAAUUAAUUCCCAGCUCAUUACAUUUCCUGUGGCUAAUUUGUACUCGGGCUGAUUUGAUUAAACUCAUCUCUAUGCUAAUAAAUGUGUUUUCCAUUUGUUUUAGUGGCUGAAGGAAAAGAGUUCGAUAUUUACAUAUUUUGACGUUUAUCAGAGAAAUCGCGGCAUCUGAAUUAAUGAAUAUCUGGGUUAGUUUGUAGGAAGCAUUGUAGGGUCAGGCACUUCCUGCAGGCUGCCCUUCUGCUACGGGACCCUCAGGCCCAGCUCCGUGCGAGGUCUCCUUGGACCUGCGCCCCUGCCCUGAGGGGUGUGGUGGUCACCCCCUCUCUGCUAAUAAGCAGGUGCAUUUACGAGGCCAGCACAAAACCCCAGCUUUCUCCUCCCUCCAAGCCUGGGCAGGAGGCUGACAGGGAAGCCCCUACUUCAUCUUGACUAUGGACCCAGCCCCCCAGCCCCUCAGCCCCCGCAGCUCCCUCCAGCCACUGUGUGAGCCCCCAGCCCCUGCACAGAUACCUACUGGCACCCUGGCGGGUCGCUGCUCCAUGCAGCCCCUCCCAGUCCGUCCACGCUGCGGCGUCCCCGGUCCCCUCUGGCCU
rnacentral:lncRNA from 1 species